rnacentral:rRNA from 1 species
AGCGAACGCUGGCGGCAGGCCUAACACAUGCAAGUCGAGCGGCCGUAGCAAUACGGCAGCGGCAGACGGGAGAGUAACACGUGGGAACGUGCCCUUUGGUUCGGAAUAACGCAGGGAAACUUGCGCUAAUACCGAAUAAGCCCUUACGGGGAAAGAUUUAUCGCCAUUGGAGCGGCCCGCGUCUGAUUAGCUAGUUGGUGGGGUAACGGCGUCACCAACGGCGACGAUCAGUAGCNGGUCUGAGAGGAUGAUCAGCCUCCACUGGGACGUGAGACACGGCCCAGACUCCUACGGGAGGGCAGCAGUGGGGGAAGUAUUGGACAAUGGGCGGCAAGCCUGAUCCAGCCAUGCCGCGUGG